rnacentral:rRNA from 1 species
CCUACGGGUCGCACCAGUGGGGAAUAUUGCACAAUGGGCGCAAGCCUGAUCCAGCCAUGCCGCGUGAGUGAAGAAGGCCUUAGGGUUGUAAAGUACUUUCAGCGGGGAGGAAGGUGUUGUGGUUAAUAACCACAGCAAUUGACGUUACCCGCAGAAGAAGCACCGGCUAACUCCGUGCCAGCAGCCGCGGUAAUACGGAGGGUGCAAGCGUUAAUCGGAAUAACUGGGCGUAAAGCGCACGCAGGCGGUCUGUCAAGUCGGAUGUGAAAUCCCCGGGCUCAACCUGGGAACUGCAUUCGAAACUGGCAGGCUAGAGUCUUGUAGAGGGGGGUAGAAUUCCAGGUGUAGCGGUGAAAUGCGUAGAGAUCUGGAGGAAUACCGGUGGCGAAGGCGGCCCCCUGGACAAAGACUGACGCUCAGGUGCGAAAGCGUGGGGAGCAGACAGGAUUAGAUACCCGAGUAGUC